CGGACGCUCCACGAGUCUCUA
rnacentral:misc_RNA from 1 species